GACGAACGCUGGCGGCGUGCUUAACACAUGCAAGUCGAACGGAAAGGCCCUGCUUUUGUGGGGUGCUCGAGUGGCGAACGGGUGAGUAACACGUGAGUAACCUGCCCUUGACUUUGGUAUAACUUCAGGAAACUGGGGCUAAUACCGGAUAGGAGCUCCUGCUGCAUGGUGGGGGUUGGAAAGUUUCGGCGGUUGUGGAUGGACUCGCGGCUUAUCAGCUUGUUGGUGGGGGAGUGGCUUACCAAGGCUUUGACGGGUAGCCGGCCUGAGAGGGGGACCGGCGACAUUGGGACUGAGAUACGGCCCAGACUCCUACGGGAGGCAGCAGUGGGGAAUAUUGCACAAUGGGCGGAAGCCUGAUGCAGCAACGCCGCGUGCGGGAUGACGGCCUUCGGGUUGUAAACCGCUUUCGCCUGUGACGAAGCGUGAGUGACGGUAAUGGGUAAAGAAGCACCGGCUAACUACGUG
rnacentral:rRNA from 1 species